GACGAACGCUAGCGGCGUGCUUAACACAUGCAAGUCGAACGGAAAGGCCCUGCUUUUGUGGGGUGCUCGAGUGGCGAAAGGGUGAGUAACACGUGAGUAACCUGCCCUUGACUUUGGGAUAACUUCAGGAAACUGGGGCUAAUACCGGAUAGGAGCUCCUGCUGCAUGGUGGGGGUUGGAAAGUUUCGGCGGUUGGGGAUGGACUCGCGGCUUAUCGGCUUGUUGGUGGGGUAGUGGCUUACCAAGGCUUUGACGGGUAGCCGGCCUGAGAGGGUGACCGGCCACAUUGGGACUGAGAUACGGCCCAGACUCCUACGGGAGGCAGCAGUGGGGAAUAUUGCACAAUGGGCGGAAGCCUGAUGCAGCAACGCCGCGUGCGGGAUGACGGCCUUCGGGUUGUAAACCGCUUUCGCCUGUGACGAAGCGUGAGUGACGGUAAUGGGUAAAGAAGCACCGGCUAACUACGUG
rnacentral:rRNA from 1 species